GCCCGGCUAGCUCAAUCGGUAGAGCGUGAGGCUCUUAUGACUCAAAUAGUCAGGCAUCUCAAGGUUGAGGGUUCGACCCCCCCGUCGGGCU